AUUUAUAUAAUAUAUAUAGUAUAUUUGACUUCCAAUCAUAAAGAUUAAUUUUUAUUAAUAUAAAUA
rnacentral:tRNA from 1 species